CUUUUUCUUCUUCUUCUGGGUUCCCUCGCGCAGACGAUCUCUCUCACAGCAGAUCACUGUGUUUCUCCCUAUCGUGUACCUCUGUUUUCGAUAGCUGGUUUUUCCCUCUUCAUACGCGGCUCUUCCUCUUCCACUUGGUAAUUUUUCUGCCGCAGUGGCAAUCUCUAUGAGUGACGCUGAGGCUUGUUGAACGAAGUUGGGUGGAAAACAAAUUUUGUAACUGGUUGCCGAGAGCUUCUUCAGUGGUCCGUGAGUUGGUGGUUUUUCUUUCGGUUCGCAUUGUGUGUGUUGUGUUGCAGUGCAGUGAGUUCGCAAUCUUCUUGGUUUCACUUAAACGUUGAGCAUUCAAUGUGACGAGACUGAUA